rnacentral:rRNA from 1 species
AUUGAACGCUGGCGGCAUGCCUUACACAUGCAAGUCGAACGGUAACAGGUCUUCGGAUGCUGACGAGUGGCGAACGGGUGAGUAAUACAUCGGAACGUGCCUAGUAGUGGGGGAUAACUACUCGAAAGAGUGGCUAAUACCGCAUGAGAUCUACGGAUGAAAGCAGGGGAUCGCAAGACCUUGUGCUACUAGAGCGGCCGAUGGCAGAUUAGGUAGUUGGAGGGAUAAAAGCUUACCAAGCCGACGAUCUGUAGCUGGUCUGAGAGGACGAACAGACACACUGGGACUAGGAACAGGCGCAGUCUCCUACGGGAGGCAGCAGUGGGAAAUUUUGGACAAUGGGCGGAAGGCUGAUCCAGCAAGGCCGCGUGCAAGAUGAAGGCCUUAGGGUUGUAAACGGCUUUUGUACGGAACGAAAAGCCCUGCGUUAAUACCCUGGGGUCAUGACGGUACCGUAAGAAUAAGCACCGGCUAACUACGUGCCAGCCGCCGCGGUAA